rnacentral:rRNA from 1 species
AGAGUUUGAUCAUGGCUCAGAACGAACGCUGGCGGCAUGCUUAACACAUGCAAGUCGAACGGCACCUUCGGGUGCAGUGGCGCACGGGUGAGUAGCGCGUGGGAACCUGCCCUCUUGUGGGGGAUAACCGAUGGAACGUCGGCUAAUACCGCAUGCGCCCGGGGGAGACCUCGGGGAAAGAUUUAUCGCAGGAGGAGGGG